CGUUUGGGUGGCCAGUUGGAGUUCUUAGAGCCUGUAUCACGGCAGCCCAUGCUUGCAAGCUUUUUUUCAAAUAUUGCAGGGUUAUCGAGAGCCUGUAUCCAUGCGGUGCCGCUCCCAGUCCCGCCUCUUCCCAGAAAAUCCCACGGAAAAGUUUCCCCUCUUCUAUGCAAUCCAAGCUUCCGAAGGUUCCUCUCCUCUCCACCGAGUUCGAGCAGCCGCGGCAGCAGCAGCCAUGUGCCGGCGCGCGGCGGCGGCAACCAGGACAUCAGCGCUAGGUCAUACACGAAGCGGAGGGCAUGCCGUUGCUGGCUUACAACGGGGGCUUCGUCGUGGUCUUAGUUCCUGCUGAACGUCUAUGUCGGCAUGGUCGCCUACAUCAUCGAUCUUCCACCACUCUAGUAGCAGUAGCAGUAUCAAGUGUACUGUCGAUGCGUUUGAUCCUUCUAGGGCCUCUGGGCCAAGUGGGACAUGGAGUUGUCGGUGAGUCUGGUGUGCCCCAAGUUAACUGUCUGAUUUAAGUAUGCUGAAUGUUCUUGUUCUUGUUA